rnacentral:rRNA from 1 species
AUUGAACGCUGGCGGCAUGCCUUACACAUGCAAGUCGAACGGCAGCACGGGAGCAAUCCUGGUGGCGAGUGGCGAACGGGUGAGUAAUAUAUCGGAACGUGCCCAGUCGUGGGGGAUAACGCAGCGAAAGCUGUGCUAAUACCGCAUACGAUCUAAGGAUGAAAGCGGGGGAUCGCAAGACCUCGCGCGAUUGGAGCGGCCGAUAUCAGAUUAGCUAGGUGGUGGGGUAAAGGCCCACCAAGGCGACGAUCUGUAGCUGGUCUGAGAGGACGACCAGCCACACUGGAACUGAGACACGGUCCAGACUCCUACGGGAGGCAGCAGUGGGGAAGUUUGGACAAUGGGCGCAAGCCUGAUCCAGCAAUGCCGCGUGCAGGAUGAAGGCCUUCGGGUUGUAAACUGCUUUUGUACGGAACGAAACGGCCCUUUCUAAUACAGGGGGCUAAUGACGGUACCGUAAGAAUAAGCACCGGCUAACUACGUGCCAGCAGCCGCGGUAA